rnacentral:misc_RNA from 1 species
AGCAGCCGCGGUAAUUCCAGCUCCAAUAGCGUAUAUUAAAGUUGUUGCAGUUAAAAAGCUCGUAGUUGAAUUUCGGGAUUGACACAUCGGUCGUGCCUUAAGGGGUAUGAACUGGUGUAGUCAAUUUCUCACCUUCUGGAGAACCGCGAUGCCCUUAAUUGGGUGUCGCGGGGAACCAGGACCUUUACUUUGAAAAAUUAGAGUGUUUAAAGCAGGCAUUUUGCUUGAAUACAUUAGCAUGGAAUAAUAAAAUAGGACGGCAUGAUUCUAUUUUGUUGGUUUCUAGGAUCACCGUAAUGAUUAAUAGGGAUAGUUGGGGGCAUUAGUAUUCAAUUGUCAGAGGUGAAAUUCUUGGAUUUAUUGAAGACUAACUACUGCGAAAGCAUUUGCCAAGGAUGUUUUCAUUAAUCAAGAACGAAAGUUAGGGGAUCGAAGACGAUCAGAUACCGUCGUAGUCUUAACCAUAAACUAUG